rnacentral:rRNA from 1 species
UACAGAGGUCUCAAGCGUUGUUCGGAUUCAUUGGGCGUAAAGGGUGCGUAGGUGGCGCCGUAAGUCGGGUGUGAAAUUUCGGAGCUUAACUCCGAAACUGCAUUCGAUACUGCGGUGCUUGAGGACUGGAGAGGAGACUGGAAUUCAUGGUGUAGCAGUGAAAUGCGUAGAGAUCAUGAGGAAGACCAGUGGCGAAGGCGGGUCUCUGGACAGUUCCUGACACUGAGGCACGAAGGCCAGGGGAGCAGACGGG